CGUAGCAAUAUAUAAGAGCAGAGCCAACGCGGCGCAAGGAUGAAGACUGCGUCUUCUUCGAGAUCAAGCAAGGUCACGAGCCGGACACGUUCGUUGGCUACUUCGAGUCAUGGGACAAGCGCAUGUGGGGGGACAAGGAAUAAGUUGGACAUCUCAGGAAUAAGACCUCAUUUUGUAACGUCGUCUUUGAGUAGUUUCUACACUCAAGACGAAAACUUUACAAGUUAUUUAUGAAGAUGUAACGCGAGGAAGAGUAUGAAUGAGCCGAUAAAUCGCAUUUAUCAAAGUGCGUGCAGUUUGCGCUAUACGCUAUUCGCAUAGCUUAGACAAACCACUAUAGUCACAAGCUACAAACCGUGAGGUUUUCGUUUACGCGUAGUGAAAAGCAUGAUUAAAUGUGCGACGGUAGCAACGUUGAUAGAUAGUUUAAUAAAGUUGAUACAAAUUAGCUAGUUAACCUUUUCGAUUUUACGCGAAGCCCUUUGUCACGUUUGCACUUCUGUCUUUUUAAAACGCAUUAGCAGCUGAAUAUGAGUAGAAACACAAAUUCCCUAUUGAAUUUCGAAUGAAAUUCUUCUUAGUUUGUAAUUCUAUCGCGCUUCAUUUUAUAUUAUGUUGAUGACAGGUGCUUGAAUUAACGAGCCCGUGUGCACUGCCUAUAACUGACGAUAUAUUUAUGCCUCGAUCAUCUACAUAUUAUACCUAUCCAGGUGAUUUGGUAAUAAUAACUUAGCCUUAGUAGUAUUGAAA